UGGGGGAUCGUCCAACGGCAGGACUACGGACUUUGGAUCCGUCAAUCCUGGUUCGAAUCCAGGUCCCCCCA
rfam:Chloroflexi bacterium OLB15 TZ15_CFX003CONTIG000172, whole genome shotgun sequence.